UGGACGUUACGGGAACUGUCCCU
rnacentral:piRNA from 1 species